rnacentral:rRNA from 1 species
ACGCUCGACACCUACGGGAGGCAGCAGUGGGGAAUAUUGCACAAUGGGGGAAACCCGUGAUGCAGCGACGCCGCGUGAGUGAAGAAGUAUUUCGGUAUGUAAAGCUCUAUCAGCAGGGAAGAAGAUGACGGUACCUGAGUAAGAAGCCCCGGCUAACUACGUGCCAUCAGCCGCGGUAAUCUGAGCGGGCUGGCAAGGC